rnacentral:piRNA from 1 species
UGAAUGAAUGAGUAAAUUAGCCUGAACCC